rnacentral:lncRNA from 1 species
GACUGUUUAACUGUUCCCAUUUGUAUGUUCCAAUCACUUCAGGACUGAGAAGGACGGGGCAGCCACCAGAGUGGAUGCUGUCUGUACCUACCAUCCUGACCCCACGAGCCCUGGGCUGGACAGAGAGCAUUUGUACCAGGAACUGAGCCAGCUGACCCAUGACAUCACCCAGCUGGGGCCCUACACCCUGGACAGAAACAGCCUCUAUGUUAAUGGUUAUAACCGUCGGUACCGGACCCCUGCCACUAGCAGUGAGUAUUCAAACCUGUGAUAUUCCAAUGGCUUUGGGACCCUUCCUCCCCAAGGUGCAUUCCUCAGAAGAGAAACUGAUCAUUCUCCCUCCCUACGUGCCCAGUCACAGCCUCAGAGCAGCCCCUAACCCAUCAAGGUCUUGGUGUGAGUCAAGACAGAAGCCCAAAUUCCAAUUAGCUGUUCCUGUCCCAUAUUCCUUUAGGAGGACACCCAAUCAUUUCUCUAUGUUCUUUUUUUCUCAGCUCCAGUGACUUCUACAUUCUCCCCAGGGAUUUCCACAUCCUUCAUCCCCAGCUCCACAGGUAGGAAGCUCCUCUCUGGCAUCUAUGAAAUUUAACACUGCAUGGUCUGUUCCCUGCUGACCACCCAGACUCAGCCUGUUCCACUCUCCCUCUCACUCUCUCUUUUUUUUUUUUUUUAUGGAGUCUUGCUCUGUCACCCAGGCUGGAGUGGAAUGGUGUGAUCUCAGCUCACUUCAACCUUCGCCUCCCAGGUUCAAGUGAUUCUCCUGCCUCAGCCUCCCGAGUAGCUGGGAUUACAGGUGCACGCCACCACGCCUGGCUAAUUUUUUGUAUUUUUAGUAGAGGCGGGGUUUCACCAUGUUGGCCAGGCUGGUCUCGAACUCCUGACCUCAAGUGAUCCACCCGCCUCGGCCUCCCAAAGUGCUGGGAUUAUAGGCAUGAGCCACCACGCCAGGCCCACUCUCUAAAUUUUGACCACCCCAGGCACUUGAGUGGUCUUCUAGCACCCUAACCUCUGUCCAACCUCAGGAGCUUUGCACUAGCGAUUCCUGGAGACCAGCUAUGGUUGGUAUCUUCUCAACUUUCUAAUUUUUUAAAAUUAAUUAUUAUUUUUUUUUUUGAGAUGGAGUCUCGCUCUGUCACCCAGGCUGGAGUGCAGUGGCAUGAUCUCGGC